rnacentral:rRNA from 1 species
UAGGGAAUCUUCCACAAUGGACGCAAGUCUGAUGGAGCAACGCCGCGUGAGUGAAGAAGGUUUUCGGACCGUAAAGCUCUGUUGUUGGUGAAGAAGGAUAGAGGUAGUAACUGGCCUUUAUUUGACGGUAAUCAACCAGAAAGUCACGGCUAACUACGUGCCAGCAGCCGCGGUAAUACGUAGGUGGCAAGCGUUGUCCGGAUUUAUUGGGCGUAAAGCGAGCGCAGGCGGAAGAAUAAGUCUGAUGUGAAAGCCCUCGGCUUAACCGAGGAAUUGCAUCGGAAACUGUUUUCUUGAGUGCAGAAGAGGAGAGUAGAACUCCAUGUGUAGCGGUGGAAUGCGUAGAUAUAUGGAAGAAUACCAGUGGCGAAGGCGGCUCUCUGGUCUGCAACUGACGCUGAGGCUCGAAAGCAUGGGUAGCGAACAGGAUUAGAUACCCUGGUAGUCCAUGCCGUAAACGAUGAGUGCUAAGUGUUGG